GCAUUAUAUAAGCUUUAAAGCGGUAGAUUGUAAAUCUACAGAAGAGUUGGUUUAUAGUUUCUUAAACUGCA
rnacentral:tRNA from 1 species